rnacentral:rRNA from 1 species
GUGCCAGCCGCCGCGGUAAUACGAAGGGGGCUAGCGUUGUUCGGAAUGACUGGGCGUAAAGGGCGCGUAGGCGGCGAUCUAAGUCAGGCGUGAAAGCCCUGGGCUUAACCUGGGAAUUGCGUUUGAUACUGGGUUGCUUGAGUACGGGAGAGGAUGGUGGAAUUCCCAGUGUAGAGGUGAAAUUCGUAGAUAUUGGGAAGAACACCGGUGGCGAAGGCGGCCAUCUGGACCGUUACUGACGCUGAGGCGCGAAAGCGUGGGGAGCAAACAGGAUUAGAAACCCGGGUAGUCC